rnacentral:misc_RNA from 1 species
CGCACCUUGCGCUCCUUGGUAUUCCGGGGAGCAUGUCUGUUUGAGUGUCAUGAACUAUUCAACCCGGCGGUUUCUUGUUAGACCGUUUUCGGAGUUUGGUCUCUGAGUGUUUGCUUCCUUUACCGGAAGCUCAUUCGUAAUACAUUAGCCCUUUUUUUUGGAGAACCGGCUUGACCCGACGUAAUAGACUUUAUUCGUUGGGGACACUUUCUAACGGAAGUGGCCGGGUUUCUAUUUUGUUAAGAGCUUCUAACCUUCCCAAGUCAACUUUAAUUUUAGACCUCAAAUCAGAUAGGAUUACCCGCUGAACUUAA